GCAGGCGGAAGUGUUGCCUGUGAUCCAGGCUGACUCGGUCCUGUGUUGAUGCCUGAACUGAAGUCGUCUCCUGCACUGGGAAGAUGUCUGCAGAGAAAGGAGGAACUACUUUGUGCUUCUUUGUCAACGGGAAAAAGGUCACAGAGAACCAUGCAGACCCUGAAACCAUGCUGCUGCCCUUCCUCAGAGAGAAGCUGAGGUUAACUGGAACCAAGUAUGGCUGCGGCGGUGGAGGCUGCGGGGCGUGCACGGUCAUGUUGUCGCGCUACCAACCUGCCACCAAAACCAUCAUACAUCACUCAGCCAACGCCUGCCUCCUGCCGAUCUGCCAGCUUCACGGAGCCGCCGUCACCACGGUGGAGGGCAUCGGCAGCACCAAGACCAGGAUCCACCCUGUGCAGGAGCGAAUAGCGAAGGCUCAUGGCUCCCAGUGUGGCUUCUGCACUCCAGGGAUGGUGAUGUCCAUGUACUCUCUGCUGAGGAACAAGCCUCGGCCCACCAUGGAGGACAUCACACAAGCUCUAGCUGGUAAUCUGUGUCGCUGCACUGGAUAUCGUCCAAUCGUCGACGGCUGCAGGACCUUCUGUCAGGAAGCCAACUGCUGCCAAGCCAAUGGAUCUGCAGACUGUUGCCUCAACAGACAGGAAAUCACUGAGGAACCAGAUCAUGGAAAGCCACAGUUGUUUGACAAGGAAGAUUUUCUGCCACUGGACCCGACACAGGAGCUCAUCUUCCCCCCUGAGCUCAUUCUGAUGGCAGAAACAGCGAACCCACAAACGCUCACCUUUCAUGGGGAGAGGAUGAGCUGGGUGUCCCCGGCCUCCCUGGAGGAGCUGGUCCAGCUCAAGACCAGGAACCCUAAAGCUCCGCUGGUCAUGGGAAACACCAACAUAGGUCCAGAUUUAAAAUUCAAAGGCAUCCUGUAUCCACUGAUCAUAUCUCCAACCAGAGUCACGGAGCUGUUUGAGGUCACUCAGACACCACAGGGUGUUUGGGUAGGAGCGGGCUGCAGUCUUACAGAGGUUCGGUCUCAUUUGGAGAACCUGGUUCCUCAGGUUACGGAAGAGAAGACUGAACUGUUCAGAGCCCUGAUCCAACAGCUGGGGAACGUGGGAAGCCAGCAGAUCCGUAACGUUGCUUCUCUUGGGGGCAACAUCAUGAGUGCGUACCCAAACUCAGACCUGAACCCUGUUUUGGCUGCUGGGAACUGCAAAGUCAGCGUUGUUUCGAAUGGAGGAAGACAAGAGGUUCCCCUGAAUCAAGACUUCUUCGUGAGCUUUGGAAAAAACAUCCUGAAGCCAGAGGAAAUUGUUCUUUCUGUCUUCAUUCCCUUCUCCAGAAAGGGAGAGUUUGUUCGAGCUUUCCGCCAGGCUCCGAGGAAGGAGAGCUCCUUCUCCACAGUGACGACGGGGAUGAGAGUGUUUUUCUCAGAGGGGUCCAGAGUGGUUCAGGACGUCAGUAUUUACUAUGGGGGAAUGGGACCGACCACCGUUAGUGCCACCAAAACCUGCGCAGCUAUCACCACAAGGCCUUGGGAUGAUGAGACCCUCAGCCAGGCCUAUGACGUCCUCCUGGACGAGUUGGUCCUUCCUCCCUCGGCUCCUGGAGGAAAGGUGGAGUUUCGCCGCUCUUUGACUCUCAGCUUCCUCUUCAAAUUCUACCUGGAAGUCCUGCAGAAACUCAGGGAAAUGAACGUGAUUACAGAUGAGCUUCCUGAGAAGAUGCCGGUCCACCCUUUACCCAGAGAGAUCCAACCCAGCCUGCAGGAGUUCCAGCAUGUGUCAAAGGACCAGAGUGACCAGGACCCAGUGGGGCGCCCCGUCAUGCAUCGCUCUGCCAUCAGCCAGGCCACAGGUGAGGCCGUGUACUGUGAUGACAUCCCGAGAACGGAUGGUGAGCUCUUCCUGGCUCUGGUCACCAGCUCUCGUGCGCAUGCUAAAAUCAUCGGGCUGGAUGUGAGCGAGGCUCUGCAGGUUCCCGGUGUUGUCGAUGUCAUCAGGGCCAAAGAUAUUCCUGGGCAGAAAGUUCAGAAGAUGUUUGGUUAUGAUGAGGAGCUAUUUGCCGAAACCGAGGUGUCCUGCGUCGGCCAGAUGAUAUGUGCGGUGGUCGCUGAUACGAGGGUACACGCUAGACAAGGAGCAGCAGCUGUGAAGAUCAGCUAUGAGGACCUGCCUGCCCCGGUUUUCACCCAAGAGGAAGCCAUUGAGAGGUCGUCUUUCUUUGAGCCUCAGAGGAGGAUUGAGAGAGGAGAUGUGACCAAAGCCUUUCAAACUGUUGAUCAGGUUCAUGAAGGAGAGUUUCGGAUGGGUGGCCAGGAGCAUUUCUACAUGGAGACCCAGAGCAUGCUGGUUGUUCCUGUUGGUGAGGAGAAGGAGUUCAGAGCUUACGUCUCCACCCAGUGGCCGACGUUAACUCAGACCACAAUAGCGGAGACGCUGGGCAUCCCGUCCAACAGGGUCACCUGUCACAUCAAAAGGAUAGGCGGAGCUUUUGGCGGAAAGAUCGUUACAACUGCGACACUGGCUUCCAUUACCUCUGUGGCUGCAUGGAAGACCAAUCGUGCAGUGCGCUGUGUCCUGGAGCGAGGAGAGGACAUGUUGAUCACAGGAGGCCGUCACCCUGUCCUGGCUAAAUACAAAGUCGGUUUCAUGAAUGACGGAAGGAUUGUUGCUGCGGAUAUCCAGUACUACACCAACGCUGGCUACACUGUGGAUGAAUCUGUUCUGGUGGUAGAAAAAAUUCUGCUUCACUUCGACAAUGUCUACAACAUCCCCAACCUGAGAGGCCAUGGUGCUGCCUGCAGGACCAACUUGCCUUCCAACACCGCCUUCAGGGGCUUUGGCGUGCCACAGAGCCUCAUGGUCGUGGAGAUCAUGAUCAAUGAUGUGGCAAUGGUGCUGGGACGCCCAGCAGACCAGAUUCGGGAGAUCAACAUGUACAAGGGGCCGUCAGUCACUCACUACAAGUUUGAGUUUGACCCGGAGAACAUGCUGCGCUGCUGGGAGGAAUGUAAAGGGAAGUCUGACUACAGCGCCCGCCGCAGAGCUGUGGAGCAGUUUAACCAGCAGAACCGCUGGAAGAAGAGAGGGAUGGCCAUCAUCCCCAUUAAAUAUGGGAUUGCAUUUUCGGAGGGCUUCUUAAAUCAGGCCGGAGCUCUGGUCCACAUCUAUAAAGACGGCUCUGUCCUAGUCACUCAUGGUGGGACGGAGAUGGGUCAGGGACUCCACACUAAAAUCCAACAGGUGGCGAGUCGGGAGCUCCACAUCCCGCCCUCUAAGAUCUACAUCAGCGAAACCAGCACCAACACUGUUCCUAACACCUGCCCCUCUGCUGCCUCCUUCGGAACUGACGCCAACGGCGUGGCGGUCAAGAUUGCCUGCCAGACUCUGUACCAGCGCCUGGAGCCGAUCAGGCAGAAGGACCCCAAAGGCUCAUGGGAGAGUUGGAUCACGGCAGCGUUUUUUGAGAAAAUCAAUUUAUCGGCGACUGGAUUCUACAGAGGUCCAGACCUCUACAUGGACUGGGACAAGAUGGAGGGGCAGCCGUACGCCUACUUCACAUACGGAGCGUGCUGCUGUGAAGUGGAGCUGGACUGCCUCACAGGAGACUACAGGACCGUGAGGACGGACCUUGUGGUGGACAUUGGUAGAAGUGUGAACCCCUCAGUGGACAUCGGCCAGAUUGAAGGAGCGUUCAUGCAGGGUUUGGGUCUCUACACUCUGGAGGAGUUGAAGUUUUCCCCCUCUGGGCUCCUGUACACUCGAGGUCCAUCUCAGUAUAAGAUCCCUGCGCUCUGCGACCUGCCGCUUCGCUUCAACGUCUACUUGCUGUCAGACUCUUUCAACCCCCACGCCAUCUACUCCUCAAAGGGUAUUGGAGAGCCCGUCCUCUUCCUGGGCAGUUCAGUGUUCUUUGCCAUUAAAGACGCCGUGGCUGCAGCCCGCUCCGAGUCCGGUUUAGUCGGCCCCUUUCCCUUGGACAGCCCUGCGACACCAGAGAGGGCCUGUCUGGCUUGUUGCUCCCCGUUCACUCAGAAGAUUCCAGCCAGCAAACCAGGAUCUUUCAAACCGUGGGCCUUAAACAUCUAAAACUCAAUCUCAACUGUUUUUUGUUUGUUUGUUUUGCUUUUUUAAUCAAUUUUGGGAAAGUCAUGGAAAUUUUGUUGUGUAAAGAAAUUGUCACAGUAAUCUUGUUUUGCUAGUGCAUCAUUCUCUCUUCAUGUAUGGUAGCUACCUGAAUUUAUGUUUGACUAAAGUUUUAAUCUGUUUAUAAUUAUUUAAAUGGAGUCUGGUGGGUUUGGUGAUGGUGAUUUCAGGGCUGUUUCUGGUUAAACAAAAAGGGUCUUACUCUUUAACAAAAGGUCUAUCUCUGUAGGGAUCCUUUCAUAAUGUUGUUGGACAUUUUUACUAACAAUCUGAGCCUGUCAGUGACAAAAACACUUUAAGAGGACGUCCACUGAUGAUGCAAGCAUGCCGUUACCCUGCAGCCUGUUUCAGCAGCGCUCUCACUCAAUACUGGAACCGUUUCAAAAAUGAGUAGUAGCUUAGGUAGAAAAGAGGGUCCAGGUUUAAAGAAUAAUACCAAAGUUACCCUUUACUUCAUAUUUUCUUACGCUCUUGCUCUUAUCCUACAGGAUCACUGUUUCACCAAUAGAAGAAUAAAUGAUUGAGCAGUUAUUGAAUGCACUAAAUAAA